rnacentral:rRNA from 1 species
UACAGAGGGGGCAAGCGUUAUUCGGAAUUAUUGGGCGUAAAGAGCGUGUAGGCGGCCUGGUAGGUCUGCUGUGAAAACUCGAGGCUCAACCUCGAGAUGUCGGCGGAAACCAUUUGGCUAGAGUCCGGAAGAGGAGAGUGGAAUUCCUGGUGUAGCGGUGAAAUGCGCAGAUAUCAGGAAGAACACCUAUGGCGAAGGCAGCUCUCUGGGACGGUACUGACGCUGAGACGCGAAAGCGUGGGGAGCGAACAGG